ensembl:lncRNA
AGAAACUGGACUCCUGUCUUACCAGAAUAUUGAUAUUUUUGAAAUAACGUAGACCGCCAACAGGCUCACCUCCAAGACAGAAUACAUAAUCAUUGAGAAACGCCACCUGGAACACAGCUGUGACUUGAUAAACACGUGAAAUAUUCUUUGGUGUGGUGAGGGGAAAACAAAUUUCUCAAAGGACACGCACCAUGGUGUAUGAGAGGACACUGGAGCCCAGCCAGCAUCUGACAUGCUGAAUUCAAAGUGCAGGGAGGCAUUUGGGAUUUGUGUUCCUGGCAACUUGAGAGAGGAAUGGAGGAAGUCAAAGGGAGGAAGAGGAGCUGAUGUUGCAGUCCAAGAGGAAACAGGAGUGAGGGCAGGGAGCCCAGACGAGGGUCAGGGUGAAGAUGGGUGUGGGGAAGGCAGAGCAAACCAGCUGCUGCUGUCAACCCGGACCUAUUUCCUCAAGCUCUGGGAGCCCUCCCAUCCCUGCUCUCAGCAACAGUGAUGCUGCCUUCGGGCGGCUGUGCAGCCAACCCACACUGAGUGAUAGCUGUCCCUGUCAUUUUCUUAAAUGUCACCAGUGAAAGAGACAUUUCCACCUCCCUGGAGUACACAUACUCCACGUGUGGAUAAGUGGACACUUGGUUCCAUUUUCACAGCUUCCAAAAAUUGGUCACAGAUGACUCACAAUUGUGUCAACUACCCUGGUAUAAGAAGCCAUAGAUGGAGGUAUACAGAAAUGAUUUUUUUUUUAAAUGUAAUGUCCUUUCUAUGAGGCAGUAAAACAUCUUUCCUGCCAUUAGGAGAAAUGUGUUCUUUGAAUUAUUUUCACAGCCAUAAAGGCAGACCUGUGAAAGGCUAUUUGUACUGGAUAGUUCUCUGCUUUCAUGGAUUUUAUUCAGAAUUGUCCAUUCUUGGAAAUGUUGGGGAAAGAGAAAAGAAAAAGAGAACAAAUAUAUGUUGAAUUAGUUAGUGUAAAUUAUAAUUCAUAAGCUGCAGUGUCCAAGCAAUAUUACCUUCCACAUAUUCUUGAAUAGCUUGGUUCCUAUUUUUGAGCCCCUGCCUGGUGCCAGGAACUUGUUUUCAGCUAAUUCAGGGUUUCUGCCCCCAUUUUCCUUGGAGGAAUAUCUAAGUUCUUUGGGGAUAUUGCUGGUGUCAAGCAUGAAGCUGUUGGAGGACAGGGAGGCUUUGGCAUCUGGUCCUCAGCAUCACGUAAAUCCUAUCAGAACUUAGAGGUGAAAUGGGAAGGAUUGUUGAUCUCCUGCCCCACCAGCUGCUGGGAUGUCCCUUACUCCCAUUCACAAGGUCUGUUUGUGUCACUCUAGGUCAUUUUGCUCUCCUGAGCCCGUCUGGGAACCACUUUGAAGCUGUUUGAGUCCAGAGCCAUGGCCCAGGCCUCUCGUGGUAUGCGAUCCUGCUGUGUUCCCUCAGCUGGAUCAGGGGCACUGGGCAGCGCCUUCCCCUCUCCUGGCCUAUUCUCAGGCACACCUAAGUGAUCUUAUUUCAUCUUGACCCUAACCUUGGAUAUUUGAAGUAGAAUUAUUCAUUUACAAAGGAGGAAAAUGAGAUUCAGAGAAGCUAAAUACAUGCCAAAGCCACGUAACUGCAAGUGGCAGAGCUCAGUUUGCUUUCCAAACUCAUGCGGCUCCCUUCAUCACUGUGACUCACCCACUUUAUCCCCCAACUUCAAGGAAGUCUCCUCUGAUCACCCAAGAAUAAUGUCUGCCUCCUUAGAAAUUUUGUGGCCAUUGCUGUUUCAAUUUUGGGAGUGACAUCUAAUUGUCACACAAUGUUUCACACGCUAGCUAUCUGCGCUCAUAUCUAGACAAGCCUGCUUAGGUGGUGGCUCCUGGAAAGCAAAGACCACUUCUUGUGUUUGUCUCUAUCCCGUCUACUAGCACCACACUCUGUACAUGGUAAAUGUGUAAUAUGUAAUUGAUUAUAAUAAAAAUAUG